rnacentral:tRNA from 1 species
AAAAUAUUAAGAUAUAAAUUCUGCUAGUUUUCAAGGCUAGAAGAGCUAAAAUUCAA